UGGGGGAUAUUGCACAAUGGAGGAAACUCUGAUGCAGCAACGCCGCGUGAGGGAAGAAGGUCUUCGGAUUGUAAACCUCUGUUUUUGGUGACGAAACAAAUGACGGUAGCCAAAGAGGAAGCCACGGCUAACUACGUGCCAGCAGCCGCGGUAAUACGUAGGUGGCAAGCGUUGUCCGGAUUUACUGGGUGUAAAGGGUGCGCAGGCGGGACUGCAAGUUGGAUGUGAAAUACCGGGGCUUAACCCCGGAGCUGCAUCCAAAACUGUGGUUCUUGAGUGGAGUAGAGGUAAGCGGAAUUCCGAGUGUAGCGGUGAAAUGCGUAGAUAUUCGGAGGAACACCAGUGGCGAAGGCGGCUUACUGGGCUCUAACUGACGCUGAGGCACGAAAGCAUGGGUAGCAAACAGGAUUAGAUACCCUGGUAGU
rnacentral:rRNA from 1 species